rnacentral:lncRNA from 1 species
AGACUGCGGCCGAGACGGGGAGGGGGAAGCCUCGCCUGGGGGGCGGCAGUGGCCUGGGCGGCUCUCCGGCUGCUGUUGUAUGGCUGCACGUUGGCGCUACCGGACGGGAUGCUGUAUCCCCGAGAGAGCCCGUCGUGGCAGCGCAAGCAGCUGGACGGCCUCUGAAGCUUCCGCGCCGACUUCUCCGACAACCGACGCCGGGGCUUCGAGGAGCAGAGUCAGGCCCCACCGUGGACAUGCCGGUUCCCUCCAGCUUCAACGACAUCGGCCAGGGCUGGCGGCUGCGGCAUUUUGUCAGCUGGUUGUGGUAUGAACGGGAGGUGACCCUGCUGGAGCGAUGGAUCCAGGACCUGUGCACAAGAGUGGUGCUGAGGAUUGGCAGUGCCCACUUCUAUGCCAUCGUGGUAUCCCAAGGGUUACUUUGUCCAGAACACAGACUUUGACUUCUUCAGCUACGCAGGACUGCUGUGGUCUCUGCUUCUAUACACGACACCCCCCACCUACAUCGAUGACGUCACCGUCACCACCGGCGUGAAGCGAGACAGUGGUGAGGGCUUCUGGACUGGAUGGAGGACCUGAAGACGUGAGGUGGAGGCACAGGUAGAAGAGAAGAUUCUCACCAUCGCUGAUUCACACAAAAGCAUUUCUCCAAGUGGUUGCAGAUGACAUGAUUUCCCAAAGUGUUAGAGCUGAAGUGUGUUUCCUUGUGUAUAUAUACUGUGGUUCCUUUAUCCCUUCAUCUGUGGAUAGACAGGUGCAACCGUGUGGUUCCCCACGAUAUGAUUUCAUUGUGGUUUUCUGUCUGAAGAGUAUCCCAGUAUGUACCUGUGGAGCAGCUUCUUUAUCCCUUCAUCUGUGGAUAAGCAGUGCAGGCCAAGGCCCCCUGCCCAUGGAGGUGUGCUGCAGACAGCAGCAGCAGCAGCAGCAGCAGCAGCAGCAGCAGCAGAGGCCUGGCUUCCUGAGGAAUUGCUGGCCGGUUUGAGGAAGGAAGGAAGUCCCACCUACCAUGAUCACCCUCCAGCCUGGAGGAAGCUCCAUGCCAGCAGCAUGGACCAGCAUGGGAGCCAGAGCCCUGCUAAUGCUGCAGCUCAUCACCCCUGCUCAGCAGCCCAGCAGCCCAGCAGCCAUUGCCACAUCCCAUUUCCAGGGCCUCCUGCCCCCAUGCCCCCACGUGCCCAUGGACCGACACACCACUCUUCCUGUUGGCCCAAGGUAGGCAUGGAGGGAAUUUUUCAAGUCCACUUUUAGUAGGUAAGUCAAAACCAAACAAAAUAACCACUCGACACCUGGUCCAAUGCCCUUCCAAACUCACUCUUUUCUCUGACCCUUAAACACUUGUCCUGCAUCUCCCAGACUCCACUGUACCUUGAUCAGUAGGUCCCUCUUCACUGCAGUGUCUUUUUUGCAGAGUUCUUUUAGCUCUUUCAUGCUUUUGCUAUGGGCAGAGGAAAGAAAGAAGGGUAAAUUUGGGAAUCAGGGGAGAUUUGUGAGUUCCAGUCCCUUUUGUUUGAAAACCCAGUGAAUCCCAGCUUACUGGGUGAGAGUUUUCAGUGGAGUCCUCUGAUCACAGGGGCUCCAGAGGACCAGGGUGGGACCUCUCAUGCUCCUCCCCUGGGCCCCAUCUCCACUUCACAUGAGCCACUGCGUGUUUACAGUUAGCUUUCAGCUGGACACAGAGUUCCACUGCUGGGUACAAACACCUGAAAGCCUCCAGUUGGCUCCAGUCUGUUCCUGAUGGUUAAAAAACCUUAGUCCUGAGUUGGAAAUCCUUGCCUAGGAGUCCAGGGCAGCUUAGUGACCACAGCCACCGGCCCAUCCCUGCCUCCAGUGUCCCUGGACUCCAAGAACCUUUCAGAGUCAUUGAGGGCACAUGGGGGGAGACCUGUGAGUCCCUAGGUCAACCCUGAUGCUGCCAUGGAGAGAGCCCUCCUCACCUGGACACUCCUGCCCACGUCUUGUGUAGCUGACCUAUUGGGUUGCUGCACAGAGCAGAGACGAUGACGUGCACCGAGGAGAAGUUGUUGAGGCUUAGGCACUCCUGGAGAGGGAAGAAUGAGCUGUGCGGUUCAGAGUUGGAGCUUGGCCCACUACAGCCUCAGCCCCCUCUGCUGAGAUCUCCCCUCCUGGAUGAAGCAGAGGCCUGGGGAGCCUCAGGAGGGCAGACCUGGGGCCGAGUGGAUGUCACUCAUCUAGGAGGAUUUUAGUUCAACCCAAGGAAGACCCCAGGUCGGAAGUGAGCAGCCACCACUGGGCCGUGGGAGUCAAGUCUGGAGAAACAGCUACGGCCAUCCCAGCCCUGGCCAAGGGGAAAAUGCCGGAAGACUCCAGGGUGGGAGGAAGCGCGUCCCAAGGCCCAGGAUCUGCGAGGCGACUUGGGGAAAACGCAGGACCUGCUGAAGCUCACACCCGUGGACCACCCAGACUGCCUGCCGCUACAGGAUGCCCUCCGCAUCUCCCAGGACUUCUUUCCGGCAUCAGUGUGGACAUUGACCCCACUGGACUGCAGUCACAGUGGACUCCCAAGGGGCAGGAUCCACCUCUGAUGUUCAGUGAAGACUACCAGAAAAGUCUGCUAGAGCAGUACCAUCUGGGUCUGGAUCAAAAACUCAGAAAAUACGUGGUUGGAGAGCUCAUCUGGAAUUUUGCCGAUUUCAUGACUAACCAGUGUUCCUGCUCCAGCGUGGCUCCUGGACUGGCGCCAGAUGCUGGCCCUGGGGGUUUCAAUCCAAGCAUAAUUCAGUGAAGCAUGUGUUUGGCAGUGGGACCCAGCUCACUGUUUUAGGUCAGCCCAAGACUACCCCGUCGGUCAUUCUGUUCCUGCCGUCCUGUGAGGAGCCCCAAGCCAACAAGGCCACACUGGUGUGUCUCAUGAAUAACUUUAUCCGGGAAUCUUGAUGGUGACCUGGAAGGCAGAUGGUACCCUCAUCACCCAGAGCGUGGAGAAGACCACGCCCUCCAAACAGAGCAACAACAAGUACGUGGCCAGCAGCUACCUGAGCCUGACGCCCGAGCAGUGGAGGUCCCGCAGAAGCUACAGCUGCCAGGUUAUGCAAGAAGGGAGCACCGUGGAGAAGUCAGUGGCCCCUGCAGAAUGUUCAUAGGUUCCAGCCCCCACCCCACCCACAGGGGCCUGGAGCUGCAGGAUCCCAGGGGAGGGGUCUCUCUCUGCAUCCCAAGCCAUUCAGCCCUUCUCGCUGUACCCAGUAAACCCUCAAUAAAUAUCUUUGUCAGCCAGAAA